rnacentral:rRNA from 1 species
GAAUUUUUACAGAGGGUUGAUGCUGGCAGUUUAUCUGCAUGUGCUCACUCUUCUGAUUUAUUUACACCUGUGCACUUAAUUUUUUUCAAAGGCUUUAGGGGUAAAAACCUGCCUUUGGGACUUACAAACCCCCCCUAUAUUGAGACAAUGAAUGUUUAUCUGCCGUAAGGCAAAUUUUUAAUACAACUUUUAACAACGGAUCUCUUGGCUCUCGCAUCGAUGAAGAACGCAGCGAAAUGCGAUAAGUAAUGUGAAUUGCAGAAUUCAGUGAAUCAUCGAAUCUUUGAACGCACCUUGCACUCUCUGGUAUUCCGGGGAGUACAUCUGUUCGAGUGUCAUUAAAACUCUCAAAUAAAGGUGGCUUUGCAGCUAUCUCUGUUUGGAUUUGGGCUUUGCUGCAUUAAUGUGGCUAGUCUUAAAUGUAUUAGCUGAUCCUCAUUGAGGUUUUGGUUCUACUCAGCGUGAUAAUUAUCUAACGUUGAGGACAGUCUCAGAACUGGCCAUGGCUCUCUCUGGAUUGCUUCUAGACUGUCUUGAAGACNAUUGCUUAAUUUCUGACCUCGAAUCAGGUGGGACUACCCGCUGAACUUAA